GAUGAAGAACGUAGCGAAAUGCGAUACGUAAUGUGAAUUGCAGAAUUCAGUGAAUCAUCGAAUCUUUGAACGCAUAUUGCGCUCUCUGGUAUUCCGGAGAGCAUGCUUGUUUGAGUAUCAGUAAACACCUCAACUUCCAUAUCUUUUUUGAAAUGGGAGUUGGACUUGAGUGAUCCCAACGCUUUUCCUCACCGAAAAGUGGCGGGUUACUUGAAAUGCAGGUGCAGCUGGACUUUUCUCUGAGCUAUAAGCAUGUCUAUUUAGUCUGCCUAAAAAACAGAUUAUUACCUUUGCUGCAGCUAACAUAAAGGAGAUUAGUUCUUGUGCUGACUGAUGCAGGAUUCACAAAGACAGGCUUCGGCCGACUUUGUAAACUCGAUCUCAAAUCAAGUAAGACUACCCGCUGAACUUAAGCAUAUCAAUAAGCGGAGGA
rnacentral:misc_RNA from 1 species